GUGAGAAGAGGAGAGGAGAGGUGGAGUAGAUGUGAGGAGAGGUGGAGUAGAUGUGAGGAGAGGUGAAGGAGAUGUGAGGAGAGGAGAGGUGGAGAUGUGAGGAGAGGUGGAGGAGAUGUGAGGAGAGGUGGAGGAGAUGUGAGGAGAGGUGGAGGAUAGGUGGAGGAGAUGUGAGGAGAGGUGGAGGAGAUGUGAGGAGAGGUGGAGGAGAUGUGAGGAGAUGGGAGGAGAGGUGGAGGAGAUGUGAGGAGAGGUGGAGGAGAUGUGAGGAGAGGUGGAGGAGAUGUGAUGAGAGGUGGAGGAGAGGUGGAGGAGAGGUGGAGGAGAUGUGAGGAGAGGUGGAGGAGAGGUGAGGAGAGGUGGAGGAGAUGUGAGGAGUCAUUUUCCACUGAAUAAAACCAUCCGUUGAGUUUCUCCUGGUAUUCCACAUGUACAUAAGUCAUGUGACCUCGGUGGACACACUGCACCUCCAGCAGGCCUCCUCUGACGGCUCCUCGGGGUCCUCACCUCUUUCUGGUGGUACUUGAUGGCCAGUUUGAGCUUGGCCAGGUCGUGGCACUGCCUCGGGUCCAGCUCCUCGCUCUGGUCGUUGUCUCUGUGGUUCAGGAUGGUCUCCAGCUCCCUGGAGCUCCUGGCCUGGUCCAGAAGGUCCUUGGCGAAGCGUUUGCACUGCUGGGACAGCUCCUCGUACUCCUGCCGGAACUCGUUCUCCACCUGAGAGGACGCAGGAGGUUCCUCCUGAAGGCCUCCGGUGCAACACAAGAGACUGACCGGUUCUACUUCCCGCCCUCACCUUGCUGAGCUCCUUGAGCUCCCAGCCCAGCCUGAAGGCCGUGAGGAUGGGGUCCUCGCUGGACAGCGCGAUGAGCGAGGGCGAGGCCAGCGCCUUGUAGAUGUUGAGUCGAGACCUCGAGUGCCGAAGACUGUCC
ensembl:lncRNA